rnacentral:rRNA from 1 species
GACGUAGGGGGCCAGCGUUGCUCGGAAUUACUGGGUGUAAAGGGUUCGUAGGCGGUGUGGCAAGUCGGGAGUGAAAUCUCUGGGCUCAACCCAGAGUCUGCUUCCGAAACUGCUGUGCUUGAGUGUGGGAGAGGCGCGUGGAAUUGCAGGUGUAGCGGUGAAAUGCGUAGAUAUCGGGAGGAACACCAAUGGCGAAGGCAGCUCGCUGGGACGUGACUGACGCUGAGACGCGAAAGCGUGGGGAGCAAACAGG